rnacentral:rRNA from 2 species
GGGACACGUGGUAUCCUGUCUGAAUAUGGGGGGACCAUCCUCCAAGGCUAAAUACUCCUGACUGACCGAUAGUGAACCAGUACCGUGAGGGAAAGGCGAAAAGAACCCCGGCGAGGGGAGUGAAAAAGAACCUGAAACCGUGUACGUACAAGCAGUGGGAGCACAGAGCAAUCUGUGUGACUGCGUACCUUUUGUAUAAUGGGUCAGCGACUUAUAUUCUGUAGCAAGGUUAACCGAAUAGGGGAGCCGAAGGGAAACCGAGUCUUAACUGGGCGUUAAGUUGCAGGGUAUAGACCCGAAACCCGGUGAUCUAGCCAUGGGCAGGUUGAAGGUUGGGUAACACUAACUGGAGGACCGAACCGACUAAUGUUGAAAAAUUAGCGGAUGACUUGUGGCUGGGGGUGAAAGGCCAAUCAAACCGGGAGAUAGCUGGUUCUCCCCGAAAGCUAUUUAGGUAGCGCCUCGUGAAUUCAUCUCCGGGGGUAGAGCACUGUUUCGGCAAGGGGGUCAUCCCGACUUACCAACCCGAUGCAAACUGCGAAUACCGGAGAAUGUUAUCACGGGAGACACACGGCGGGUGCUAACGUCCGUCGUGAAGAGGGAAACAACCCAGACCGCCAGCUAAGGUCCCAAAGUCAUGGUUAAGUGGGAAACGAUGUGGGAAGGCCCAGACAGCCAGGAUGUUGGCUUAGAAGCAGCCAUCAUUUAAAGAAAGCGUAAUAGCUCACUGGUCGAGUCGGCCUGCGCGGAAGAUGUAACGGGGCUAAACCAUG